CCCCUCUCAGGAUGACACCUGGAGAGUUUCCAGUACUCUACCAGUCUCGGCUAUCGGAGGGAGAGUCAAGCAGAGGCCUCCCCAUUCCAUUCCUAGAUUGGCCAAUGGCUAGAGAGUGGAAGGCAAAUCUGCUACAAGU